rnacentral:lncRNA from 1 species
ACCUUCUGUUCGGGAUGACCCAGCUCCUCCUGUCUGAUAACCAGCUCCCGACACAGCUCCUGAAUCAAUCAAGUGUCAUUAUAUCAUUAGUCCAUCAAUAUUUUUUUCUUAUGUGCCGAAACAUAAAGCGCAUAAUAUUUUUAUUUGUAAUUUGUUGUAAUAAAAAUUCAUUCUCAAAUAUAACAUCAUUAUUUUACAUACAACCUCAUAUUUAACUCAAGUUACUUCUUUGUUUUCUCUAUGUUCAUAAUUCCUCCAUCAAAUAAUUCUUCUAUUCUUUAUACCCUCACAUCAUAUUAUUUAUUUUAUUUAAAUACUAUAUUCAAACACAAUCUAGGCAUUUUGUCUUCAUAUUUUCUUUUAACUAGUUUAUUUCUCUUUUAAUUUGAAUUUACAUAUUAUUAUUAUUAUUAUUAUUUUCUCAACUUAAAUGCUAUCUCUUCAUUUAGUCUUUCUUACAUUUUCAUUUAUCAUGAUUCAACAUGGUUUUUUUUCUAAACAUUAACAUCAAAACUCAUUCUCCCAUUUUUAUUUUUAUUUUCCUUCAUUGGCCGAAUGUGAUGUUUCUUUUUCCUCCACCAAAUCUUUCUUCAUUUACUUGUUAUUUCAACUUGUUUUCAUUCUAUUUCUCUUCAAUUUCAUCAUUUUCCCUUCCCCUCCUAAUUCCCCCAAAUUCACAUAAGAACCCUAAGUUCAAUAAUCUAGGAUUUAAGGGAAACUAAGGUAAAGUUCCAUGAAAUUACUUCCUAAUUUAAUCAAAUAAGCUUAGGAAAAACAACUAAAUCAACAUUAAAUCCAAACUUCUCAUGCUUACCUAUUGUUUUUCUUCCAAUUUCUCUUCUCUUCCAAGGUUAGCUGAAUUCCCCUUCUCAAAUCCUCCUUCCUUCACUUGAUUUAGUGUUUUAUAGGUUUAACUUGCAAGUUUAUAAAGUUAUUCUCUCAAUUUCCUUAUUGUUUU